rnacentral:lncRNA from 10 species
UUGGCCUUCCAAAGUGCUGGAAUUACAGGCCUGAGCCACCGCUUCCAGCCACGGUCUCUUUUAAAGAGGGCUUUUAUGAUUAUUAAAUUCCCCUAACACUUUCAAACUAUGCUUGUAAAUUUAAUGUUAGGUUUUUCCAUUUAAGAGCCACAAGUAGGGCUGGGCGUGGUGGCUCACACCUGUAAUCCCGGCACUUUGGGAGGCCAAGGCAGGUGGAUCACUUGAGGCUGGGAGUUUGAGACCAGCCUGGUCAACAUGACAAAACCCUGUCUCUACUAAAAAUACUAAAAUUAACCAGGUGUGGUCAUGGGCGCCUACAAUCCCAGCUGCUUGUGAGGCUGAGGCACAAAAAUCGUUUGAACCCAAGAGGCACGGAGGCUGCAGUGAGCC